rnacentral:rRNA from 1 species
CUACGAGAGGCAGCAGUGGGGAAUUUUGGACAAUGGGGGCAACCCUGAUCCAGCCAUGCCGCGUGAGUGAAGAAGGCCUUCGGGUUGUAAAGCUCUUUCGGCCGGGAAGAAAUCGGCGACUCUAACAUAGUCGCUGGAUGACGGUACCGGACUAGGAANCACCGGCUAACUACGUGCCAGCACCGCGUAAUAAGCGUGAU